UUCUUGCAAAUUGAAGGCUCAAAUCCUAACCAAAACAAAAUCCGAGCUUAGAAUCGUGUUCCUCAUCGCGAGAGGGUCUAGAGAAAUGCCUAAGCAAAGAGUCCGGUUCCUCUAGCGGACAAGCCGAGGGGAAAUCACGAGGAAAAGGCGCGCUCUAAAGUUCUCAGGUACCAAGAAAAAGGAUGAAGAUCAAGCAAAUGAAUCGAACCGAACACACACAUUUUAAGA
rnacentral:lncRNA from 1 species